UCCCUGGUGGCUCAGUUGGUAAAGAGUCUGCCUGCAAUGCAGGAGACCCAGGUUUGAUCCCUGGGUCCGGAA
rnacentral:tRNA from 1 species